rnacentral:rRNA from 1 species
UGGGGAAUUUUGGACAAUGGGGAAACCCUGAUCCAGCCAUCCCGCGUGUGCGAUGAAGGCCUUCGGGUUGUAAAGCACUUUUGGCAGGAAAGAAACGUCGCGGGUUAAUACCCCGCGGAACUGACGGUACCUGCAGAAUAAGCACCGGCUAACUACGUGCCAGCAGCCGCGGUAAUACGUAGGGUGCAAGCGUUAAUCGGAAUUACUGGGCGUAAAGCGUGCGCAGGCGGUUCGGAAAGAAAGAUGUGAAAUCCCAGAGCUUAACUUUGGAACUGCAUUUUUUAACUACCGGGCUAGAGUGUGUCAGAGGGAGGUGGAAUUCCGCGUGUAGCAGUGAAAUGCGUAGAUAUGCGGAGGAACACCGAUGGCGAAGGCAGCCUCCUGGGAUAACACUGACGCUCAUGCACGAAAGCGUGGGGAGCAAACAGGAUUAGAUACCCUGGUAGUCCACGCCCUAAACGAUGUCAAACUAGCUGUUGGGGUCUUCGGACCUUGGUAGCGCAGCUAACGCGUGAAGUUGACCGCCUGGGGAGUACGGUCGCAAGAUUAAAACUCAAAUGAAUUGACGGGGUCAUAGCU